UUUAGUUUAUCAAUAAUACUUGGACUUAGUCAACCUCUGAAGAGACAUAAAGAUGAAAUUACUUUUUAUUAUUUUAUUUUGUAUUGCUAGAACUACAGGAGAAUGUUGCCAAAAUAGGAAAGCGUCUGAUGGUGAUAUUUACAUCUACUAUUCUACGCUUAAUCCUUCUACUCUACCAUCAGAUUGUUUUAAUGGAUGCCUGUAUACUAAAGCAGGGGAUAAGACAGGAGAAUUAUUCUGUUUUGGAAACGGGCCACUGACUUCAGAAUGUACUGACGAAAUUGGAGUGGUAGAAGUGCCCCCUGAGCCGGCGAGUAGGGUGGAAUGGGUGGCAGGGGACCCCUAUGCCCCGAAUUGGUACAUCAAAAUAUAGGGAAGGAUUACAUGGAGAGGAGACUUUGUGUUAAUUUGAAAAUGUGGAACAGAAGAUUUUACAAAACAAAUUAAAUCGGAAAAAUUUCAACUUUUUCAUUGUAAUCAAAAGACAAUAAAAAUAAAAUUUUC